GAAAUGCGAUAAGUAAUGUGAAUUGCAGAAUUCAGUGAAUCAUCGAAUCUUUGAACGCACCUUGCGCUCCUUGGUAUUCCUUGGAGCAUGCCUGUUUGAGUAUCAUGAAAUCUUCAAAGUAAAUCUUUUGUUAACUCAAUUGGUUUCUACUUUGGUAUUGGAGGUCUUUGCAGCUUCACACCUGCUCCUCUUUGUUCAUUAGCUGGAUCUCAGUGUUAUGCUUGGUUCCACUCGGCGUGAUAAGUUAUCUAUCGCUGAGGACACUGUAAAAGGUGGCCAGGUUAAAUGCAGAUGAACCGCUUCUAAUAGUCCAUUGACUUGGACAAUACUUUUAUGAUCUGAUCUCAAAUCAGGUAGGACUACCCGCUGAACUUAAGC
rnacentral:misc_RNA from 1 species